rnacentral:rRNA from 1 species
UUCGCGGCCUAUCAGCUUGUUGGUGAGGUAACGGCUCACCAAGGCGACGACGGGUAGCCGGCCUGAGAGGGUGACCGGCCACACUGGGACUGAGACACGGCCCAGACUCCUACGGGAGGCAGCAGUGGGGAAUAUUGCACAAUGGGCGCAAGCCUGAUGCAGCAAUGCCGCGUGAGGGACGGCGGCCUUCGGGUUGUAAACCUCUUUUAGUAGGGAAGAAGCGAAAGUGACGGUACCUGCAGAAAAAGCACCGGCUAACUACGUGCCAGCAGCCGCGGUAUACGUAGGGCGCAAGCGUUAUCCGGAAUUAUUGGGCGUAAAGAGCUCGUAGGCGGUUUGUCGCGUCUGCUGUGAAAACCCGAGGCUCAACCUCGGGCCUGCAGUGGGUACGGGCAGACUAGAGUGCGGUAGGGGAGAUUGGAACUCCUGGUGUGGCGGUGGAAUGCGCAGAUAUCAGGAAGAACACCGAUGGCGAAGGCAGAUCUCUGGGCCGUAACUGACGCUGAGGAGCGAAAGGGUGGGGAGCAAACAGGCUUAGAUACCCUGAUAGUCCACCCCGUAAACGUUGGGAACUAGUUGUGGGGUCCAUUCCACGGAUUCCGUGACGCAGCUAACGCAUUAAGUUCC